rnacentral:ncRNA from 1 species
AUCUUAUCAAGAGCAGGUGGAGGGACAAGCCCGAUGAUACCCGGCAACCGACCUAUUUUAGGCACGGUGCUAAUUCUUGCAGCGGCAGCUGAGAGAUAAGAA